rnacentral:rRNA from 1 species
GGAUUACAGCCUGCAACCCGGCUGUAUGAAGCUGGAAUCGCUAGUAAUCGCAGAUCAGAAUGCUGCGGUGAAUACGUUCCCGGGUCUUGUACACACCGCCCGUCACACCAUGGGAGCCAGGAAUGCCCGAAGCCAGUGGCCUAACCGCAAGGGAGGAGCUGUCGAAGGCAGGCCCGGUAACUGGGGUGAAGUCGUAACAAGGUAAC